UGUAGCCAACAAGAGCCCUGACCCUUCUUGGAUUUGCAAGCUAACCCUACCCUAGAGGAAGCACCUGAGCUAUCCACUCCUCCUCCUUCUAAGUAGAUGCAACAGGUGGGAAGCUCUGAGCAACCAGAGGAACACUCCAACUUCGGAGCUCCAGGCAACUGGCUCUGGUUGCUCUGGAUAUGAGGGAUCAGGAGGGCUGUCACUGGGAUUGGGGAUGCAGACUGAGGUGAACUCCCCCUCUUAUUCUGGGUCAGAGUCUGAGCAAAUCCCAACAGGAGUCAGCAUGCCAGCACAAGGUGAAUGAUGGACAUAAUGUGAGCUCAGUCCUUCUCCUGUCUCCCAUACAAGAGAAGACAAAUCCAUUCUUCCAGGUUUCCAGGAGCAUCAGGGAAGGCAGAAGAGUUUAUUGAGGCAGUUCACAGCAGAUUUGACUGUCAUUUGACUGUCUAGGAGCUCACUAGACAGUCUUUCAUGAAGAAAAGUUUGCUUAUGGUUAAGCCAACUUGGAUCACAGGAGAUUAAACAAACUUCAAAAUAAAAAAGGAACAGGAACAAAGAAAAAAACAAAAACAAGCCGUCAUCGUGAUGAGCUUUAAAAGAAGUUGGAAGGCUGAGCAAAUGUGUCAAACCUGUUAUUACUGGGAUUUCGCAAAAGGAUUUCAAAAUACGGUGCUUAUGUUUAAAAAAAAGCUUCUCAGGUGCGUGAACGUGCACCAGCAGGUGGAUAAUGAAAAUCAGUGGAAGAACAUAAGUGACACACUCAAAUGUACUUUCCCUGUCUUCUCAUAUCACAGGUAUAUAAAAAUAUAGUUGUUCUGUUCUUAGUUUGGGAAAUGUAUUUUUGGUCAUGUUUACGCCUUUCUCCUUGCUGUGUGAAAAACCCUAGUCUGCAAAACACUGAAAGCCUCCUGCAAGGUGAUAUGACAUUCUGUGCUCAUUACUGCAAGUUUCUAUAUACACAGGUGUGGGUAGAAAGAUUUUUUUUAAAUGGAUAACUAAUCUCAGUGGGAACUGAGGAUCCUUUGGUUCUUAAGGCAGGGGUGAGGGCAGAAAGGAGAGGUGGGGGAGACAUGAAAUAUGGGAUAGAGAAAGCAACAGAAAUAUUUGCCAAUUCAUUGUCUCAACUCAUGAACCCAAAGAGGUUUAACACCAUAUGCCUUAGUCUUGGAUAAGAUCUGUCCAGAGGUCAGAAUCUAGAUCUCCCUCUCCCAACUGGUUGCAGUAUAUGCUUUCAUGUCCAGAGUAUGAUCUGAAUCCAAAUUAGACAAAAUAGUUGCUCUAUCUAAGGAGUUACUUAGAACCCACACCUAAGUCCUCAAAUGUUUUGUUAUUGAGUGACCAUGCUGUACGGUGUAUAUAUUUACGAUUAGGUGUGUCAUGCAUGACUAGUUUUUAUGAAUAGGUUGUGAUAUAGUUUUUUAAUAUAUUUGUGUCUACUAUGAGAUGUGAUAGUAUUAAAACAUUUAUGGAUUAGUAGUA